rnacentral:rRNA from 1 species
CCUACGGGAGGCAGCAGUGGGGAAUAUUGCACAAUGGGGGAAACCCUGAUGCAGCGACGCCGCGUGAGUGAAGAAGUAUUUCGGUACGUAAAGCUCUAUCAGCAGGGAAGAAAAUGACGGUACCUGACUAAGAAGCCCCGGCUAACUACGUGCCAGCAGCCGCGGUAAUACGUAGGGGGCAAGCGUUAUCCGGAUUUACUGGGUGUAAAGGGAGCGUAGACGGCAGCGCAAGUCUGGAGUGAAAUCCCAUGGCUUAACCAUGGAACUGCUUUGGAAACUGUGCAGCUAGAGUGCAGGAGAGGUAAGCGGAAUUCCUAGUGUAGCGGUGAAAUGCGUAGAUAUUAGGAGGAACACCAGUGGCGAAGGCGGCUUACUGGACUGUAACGGACGUUGAGGCUCGAAAGCGUGGGGAGCAAACAGGAUUAGAUACCCGAGUAGUC